UUAAAGGAAUUGACGGAAGCGCACCACAAGGAGUGGAUUUUGCGGCUCAAUUUGACUCAACACGCGGAAUCUUUCCCGAUCCGGACACAAGAAGGAUUGACAGAUUAAGAGCUCUUUCUUGAUUUUGUGAAUGGUGGUGCAUGGUCGUUCUUAGUCGGUGGGAUGACUUGUCUGCUUUAUUGCGAUAACGGGCGAGACUCUAGCCUGCUAAAUAGACGUUCCGAUCUUAUCAGUCGGACGGUCUUCUUAGAGGGAUAAGAGGCGUUUAGUCUCAAGAGACAGA
rnacentral:rRNA from 2 species